ACCAUGAGGGGAGGAUUUGAUGGGUGAUGAUGUAACAUUACCACCAUUCUUAACUCCACCAAAAGAAGAGCCAGCUGGAGAUCUAACCAUUAAGGGGACAUGAAUUGGCCAGAGGUGGAACACAACUUGCCCAGCUUUGUCCACAGACCCACAAAAUGAGGCCUUAUUGGAAAUCCAUUCAUCUCCUCUAAUCAGCAUGGUACAGAUAAAGCUCCAAAUGAUUAUGCAGACCAACUGCACUUUAUUUGGAUAGUUGGACAAGGCCAUCUAUAGAUUGUUGGGUCAUUGAUCAAAGGUCAAGAUGAAGUCAGCUGAUGGUUUCGCUGCAGGUGCUCCUUCUGGUUUCUGCUGAAUCUGCUGCUACAAUAUGUUUUACAGACUCUAUAUAAGCCUCAAACUUAUAAAAGCUGGUAAACUGUAAACAUUCCUGUUUCAUUUCCUGGUGAAAAUGUGUUAAAGAUGUGUUUAUAUAUAUUCAUUUGUACUUCUAAGUUUUUUUAGACAUUGUAUGAACCUGUUGUAUGUUAAAAUGAAUGUGUUUUAUUUUUAUUACACAAACUUCCAAUCAUAUUUUCUGCAUCUUUAUUAAUUUUGUCAGCUGUUUUAACAGGUUACCAGGCAGUAUACAUUUAAUGCUAUACAUGUAUGUAAAUUUUCGCUGUUACCAAUUGUCAGUGCAAGUGCACAAGAAAAUAUAUACAUAUUAUACAUUUAUAGCUGUCCUACAUAAAUAAUCUGCUCAUUUCAUUUUCCACAUUCAUGGUUAUGUUAAACCCUGAUCAGUUCUUAUGUAAUGAUUUAUUAACCAAGUCCCUCAGCUAAGUAACAUUUAGAAUUACGCUUAGUAGAACAGAUAUCUAUAGUCCAACAUAAUUAGUCCCAAUCUAUGACUGUGUCUAGAUCAUUAUCAAAGACUUGUUUGUUCAUUAUGGGUCUGCCAGAAUUAGGUACGGGGCCCUGUGAUGUGUUAAUUAUUGGAAUAAAAGGCAUGCUGGUGUAAAAAGUGUGCACAUAGAGCAUUUGAUGUUUAUGAUUUUGUACAUAUGUGUGUAUUGCAAAAUUGGUGUUAUGUUUGAAGUAUGUGUGCCACUUUGUUUGAAAUUGAAUGAAUGUGCUUUAAUGACUUCCUUAUUAUUAGAUGUAUUGAAGUGGUUAGUUGUUCCUGUUAUAAGCUUUUUAUCUGACCUUGCAUUAAUUAUUUUAUUUUAUACAGAAUUUGGAGAAAAAAAAUAUAUGCAAGAAAAUUAUUUACAUCUUUGUUCUUGAUUAAGAAGUAGGACAGUUUGUAGAAAGAAUGUGUGUGUGAUUUAGUAUUAUUUUUUCGCCUCUGUCAGCAAGAAAUUGAGUAACAUUGUAAGUAGAUUACACCAUUAGGUAAUAGAAAUCCCUAAUGUUGUGUUAAAGGGAUUGCACUCUAUGACUGGAUUUUACAUAGAUAUUAUAGAGCCCUAGUGACAAAUUGUGUAUUAAAAUCAGCUGAUUUCUGUCAGGUAACAGAUGCAUAGGCUUGUAUUUCAGUACAGGUUAUUUGAUUUUGCUGACCAAAUACGAAACGGUUAAUACAUCCUCAAUUGAAAUAUUUUUAUGUAUAAUUACAUGUACAAGCAUCCAUGCAGGGUGAGGUUGUGUAUUACACUAGCUGGUGUCAUGCCACAGUUUAUUUAUUAAUCCUGGACUGUUAUGUUUAGGUAGACGUACACAUGACAUUUCCUUGAUGUGAGCUGUUACAGUAUCUGCUUGUUUGACAUAUCAU